UAGCAUACAGGCGGUCGUCGUGAAGCAGGCGGGCAGAGAGCCUUGUCAUAAAGACUCAUUGAAGUAUGCUGUGCCAGUAGCCGUUGACCUGCAUUAUAUGAAUCAGCAAGGACCACAGUUUCAGCUAAAAAUCUUCUUUAGUGUUGAACUGAAGAAGAAAAGUCACCUACAUUUGGAUGGCUUGAGGAUGUUCGAUGAUCGCAGCCAUGAUCCUUGAUGUGUUCAAUGUAUUCUACUUUCCCUGGGGCAGAAAGACCUGCAGCCUAAAAUAGUCUUUGGUAAACCUAUUUGGUAAAAAUGUAAAAAAAAAAUAUUUUGCACACUUUG